rnacentral:rRNA from 1 species
AAGGGCGGCUGGGGCGGGUAGGCCUAACACAUGCAAGUCAUGAAACGGCAGCAACAGAGAGAGCUUGCUCUCUGGGUGGCGAGUGCGCGGACGGGUGAGGAAUACAUCGGAAUCUACUUUUUCGUGGGGGAUAACGUAGGGAAACUUACGCUAAUACCGCAUACGACCUACGGGUGAAAGCAGGGGACCUUCGGGCCUUGCGCGAUUGAAUGAGCCGAUGUCGGAUUAGCUAGUUGGCGGGGUAAAGGCCCACCAAGGCGACGAUCCGUAGCUGGUCUGAGAGGAUGAUCAGCCACACUGGAACUGAGACACGGUCCAGACUCCUACGGGAGGCAGCAGUGGGGAAUAUUGGACAAUGGGCGCAAGCCUGAUCCAGCCAUACCGCGUGGGUGAAGAAGGCCUUCGGGUUGUAAAGCCCUUUUGUUGGGAAAGAAAUCCAGCUGGCUAAUACCCGGUUGGGAUGACGGUACCCAAAGAAUAAGCACCGGCUAACUUCGUGCCAGCCAGCCGCGGUAA